rnacentral:rRNA from 1 species
GAUGAACGCUAGCGAUAGGCUUAACACAUGCCAGUCGAGGGGAAGCAUGGUCUUAGCUUGCUACGACUGAUGGCGACCGGCGCACGGGUGCCUAACGCGUAUGCAACUUGCCUCACAGAGGGGGAUAACCCGUCGAAAGACGGACUAAUACCGCGUACAUUCCAUCUUGGGCAUCCAAGGUAGAGGCGAUGUAAUUCGCUGUUAGAUAGGCAUGCGUGCCAUUAGCUCGUUGGUGUGGUAACAGCGCAGCAAGGCGACGCUGGGUAGGGGAACUGAGAGUUUGCACCCCCGCACUGGUACUGAGACACGGACCAGAAUACGACGGGAGGGAGCAGUGAGGAAUAUUGGUCAAUGGACGAGGGCCGGAACAAGCCAAGUCGCGUGAAGAAGGACUGUCUUAUGGAUUGUAAACUUCUUGUGUACGACAAUAACAAGAGUCACGUGGGACUCCCUGCCGGUACCGAAUGAAUAAGCAACGGCUAACUCCGUG